rnacentral:rRNA from 1 species
GGGCCUUGUACACACCGCCCGUCACACCAUGGGAGUGGAUUGCACCAGAAGUGGAUAGUCUAACCUUCGGGAGGACGUUCACCACGGUGUGGUUCAUGACUGGGGUGAAGUCGUAACAAGGUAGCCGUAGGGGAACCUGCGGCUGGAUCACCUCCUUAACGA